GUGCUUGCUUUGGCAGCACAUAUAAUAAAAUUAGAACGAUAGAGAGAGGAUUAGUAUGGCCCUUGUGCAAGGAUGACACACAAAUUCGUGGAGUGAAAAAAAUAUGA